UCCCGUUUAGCUCAGUUGGUAGAGCGCGUCACUAGUACUUGUCGUUCACAAGUUAUGACGAGGUCAGUCGUUCGAGUCGGCUAAUGGGAA